UUUCCGUAGGUGAACCUGCGGAAGGAUCAUUACCAAAUCCAAAACUUUAUCAACACCUAAUGUGAACUGAGAGUGGUUACUUUUCCCCUCCUCUGGGCGGGUUCCUGCUCGGGCGAGGGGAGAGGCUUUUCACCCGUUUGCGGUAGCACUCGGCUGGAUUGCCUUUCUUUCAUUCAGCUCCUUUUAAACCUUCAUCCAUAUUUCUGAUGCUGAAAGCAAAAAGAAAAACCAAAAGAAACAUCAACAACUUUUAACGGUGGAUCUCUUGGCUCGU
rnacentral:misc_RNA from 1 species